GGAAGACAAGAUGGCCGCCGACCUCUCCUUUCCAGGCAAACACACUAUUUUACCGUUUUCUCUACUUGUAAAGCCUGACGGAGGUGUCUGAGGCGGUAUAUCAUGUGGCUCAAACUCCAUCCUGGAGCUCCAGAAGAGGCCCUCUGGACUGGGGCCCAAGCAGCGGUGGACUCUCAACAACAACAACAACAACAACUCUGUCAAGUAACCCAAGAGAGGAGGAAGAGAAUGGACAAUUUACAACAAUAUGCACAGACAACAAGAAGAAGAAGAAGAAGAAGAAGAGCAAGAAGAUGAGGAGGAGGAAGAGAAUGGAAGAGAAGGAGCAGCACACACUAUUGACACUAGGAACUGAAGGAGAUGAGGAGGGACAGAGCGGUGAGUGUUAACUAAUUCUUCUCUUAUUCCUACAUUAAUUUCCUUUCUAUUGGUGUUUCUUUUCUUCUCUCCAUCCUGUUAGCUCCCACCAUGGAGGCUUAAUGUGUGGAAAUGGUUCCAGCUUAGCUAUCAGUAAACAACACCGUCACAAUGGAUAAGACACAGCCCGAAGCAUGACUCUCACCCGGGUACCCACCAGGUUUUGACGGCACGAGAAUGACAGGUUGAUGUCAAGGCAGUGAAUGGCAUCAUGUCCACUCCACCAACUAUACCUCCACAGCACACACACCCUUGACACCUUGUUUGCCGCAGGUAUGGCCUGAUUAGGGCUGGUGGCCUAGAGACAGAUAUUUCAUUAUUAAGGCAGAGGAGGGAAAGGGGGAGUAUACAUAGGAAUACAUAGGAAGAACAGACACCUGCUGGGCUAUGGCGGGAGGAGGGAGUGAGAGCAGAAGGAAAAACAGGUCAUCUCCCAUAGCUCCCUUCUUUCCCUUCCUUCCCAUGGGCGGGAGAGUGGCACAUUGAUAGGCUACUUUGUCAUUAUGUCAUAAGUAUUCAAGCUAUUUUUCUUUCUUUAGUAAUACAAUCAUCCCUCAAAUAGCACAGUUUCCAAUAGUUCGGAUUUGGUUUUAUGUGGAUUUUCUAAGAAGAUUUUUAAGGAGCAGGAAAUUUUAAAAUCCUAAAAGAUCUUCCACGACAAUCCAUAUAAAACUGAAACCAAACUAUUGGAAACUGUACUAUUUGAGGGACGACUGUAGUGAUUUUUUUUCCCCAGCCCUCACACCUUAUAUCAGUCCCAGAGCUGGCAGUUUUCUUUUGUAAUAGCCUACAUAGACAAGCUCAGGAGAGAGGGACUUGUACCAAACAGAUCAUACUCUAUGUCUUUUCAAAUGUCUGUGUUGUCUCAUUUAUGUAAAGCCUGUGUCAAUGAAAGAAUGGUAUGGCAUGAGUAUCACAGUGUUAGCCUACCAGCAUCAACACCCACGUGAUCUAAUAUGGAGCAGUGGCUAGAAGGCCUCACACAGCUGUUCAUCCUUCCUGUGUAGAUGGUUGAUGAACAGUUGUACCUGGGGAAGGUAUGGCAUGAGUAUCACAGUGUUAGCCUACCAGCAUCAACACCCAUGUGAUCUAAUAUGGAGCAGUGGGUAGAAGGCCUCACACAGCUGUUCAUCCUUCCUGUGUAGAUGGUUGAUGAACAGCUGUACCUGGGGAAGGUAUGGCAUGAGUAUCACAGUGUUAGCCUACCAGCAUCAACACCCAUGUGAUCUAAUAUGCCUUUGUGGAGCAGUGGUUAGAAGGCCUGGCUGGCCACGACUGCCAGGGCCAGGGUUGGAAUCCUCCUCACAUCCUCCGCUGCGUGUCGAGUAAAUCUAACUCCCCCAACCCAACUUGACGUAGCCCCCUCCCAACACCCCUCAUUGCACCCCGAGGCGGCUGCAAGAAACUCGCUAACCCUUCAAAAAUCACCAGCGGCCUUGCUAGCAGUUUGCAGCGCACAUAAUAUGCAGUUCAAAAUGCAUAGAACAGUGAUGUCUAAGCAAGUGAGAAGGUGCUGCUGCUGGAGCAAUGUUAAAUAUUAGCAGAGGAAGGCCAGGGACAGGGAAGGCAGGGCAAGGUUAGGAGUGCCAUGGUUAGCGUCAUGUAUCCUGGCACUGAAAAGACCAAGGGAGGAGAAUAAAGCUUGGGAAGGGAAUUGUAGGAAGAAAAGAAGGCAAAGAGGGAGAGAGAACAUGAAGGGAAAAAUACCUAAUAAAAGAACAGGAAAGAAAAAAAAGCUUGAAGGAAAUAUAUUAACCCGUACAGUGUGGUCUUUUAUAGGGCUCAUGCCAGGUGGAACUUUUUCAUAUUUUUUUAUUUGACCCUAAAA